rnacentral:rRNA from 1 species
GACGGGGGGAUGCGAGCGUUAUCCGGAAUGAUUGGGCGUAAAGGGUCCGCAGGUGGCCCGGUCAGUCCGCUGUCAAAGCCUGGGGGCUCAACCCUGGAGAGGCGGCGGAGACCACCGGGCUUGAGUCCGGUAGGGGCAGAGGGAAUUCCGGUGGAGCGGUGAAAUGCGUAGAGAUCGGAAAGAACACCAACGGCGAAAGCACUCUGCUGGGCCGACACUGACACUGGAGAGACGAAAGCUAGGGGGAGCGAAUGGG